AGACAUCUAAGAUAGAGAUAUAUGUAGUAUAUAUCUCUGUAUAUUGAAUUGCGAAUACAGAGAUAAUAGAAUCAUUUCUGAUUCGACUAAAUUAUGGGUAUCUGAUAUCGAUGAAAGAAAAUCAAUCAAGAAAAAACAAAUAGAAGGAAAUUUUCCCCCACCCAAUAUGAGUGUAGGUUUCGAAUAAAUUCAACAGUUCCAGCAUAUUAUUCUCAUAAUACUCAUAAUACAAACAAAUGAAAAAAACAGCCUAAUGCGAUAUGAUAUCAAUCUCAAAGAAAAAACGGGGGAUAUGGCGAAAUUGGUAGACGCUACGGACUUAAUUGGAUUGAGCCUUGGUAUGGAAACUUACCAAGUGAAAACUUUCAAAUUCAGAGAAACCCUGGAAUUCAAAAUGGGCAAUCCUGAGCCAAAUCCUUCUUUCUGAAAACAAAUAAAAGUUCAGAAAGUGAAAAUCAAAAAAGGAUAGGUGCAGAGACUCAAUGGAAGCUGUUCUAACAAAUGGAGUUGACAACAUUCAAUUGAUUAAUGAAGAUUUCUAACUUCUAUUUGUAACUAUUUUGAUUCUAUCACAAUGGAAACAUUAGAAUCAAUUACAACUGGAAGAAAAAAUGACUGAAUAUUCAUUGCUCAAAUCAGUCACUCCACCAUAAUCUGAUGGAUCUUUUGAAUAACUGAUUAAUCAGACGAGAAUAAAGAUAGAGUCCCAUUCUACAUGUCAAUACCGACAUCAAUGAAAUUUUUAGUAAGAGGAAAAUCCGUCGACUUUAGAAAUCGUGAGGGUUCAAGUCCCUCUAUCCCCAAAAGCCAAUUAAAUUCCCUCAUUUUGAUGGCCCUUUUUUGAUUUAGUUGACAUAGACUCAAGUAAUUUCUUAAAAUUAGGAUGGUGCGUCAAGAAUGGUCGGGAUAGCUCAGCUGGUAGAGCAGAGGACUGAAAAUCCUCGUGUCACCAGUUCAAAUCUGGUUCCCGGCGACUCAUUAUGUAUGAGUAUCUAUUCCCAUAUUUCUUUUCAAAAAUUGGGGGAAUAGAUAGAUAUUUAUUAGUGGUCUUAAUCAUCCUACAUAAUUUAUGUAGGUGUACGGAGAUAUGCUCUUUCUAGAUGAAGAAUGAAUAGAUGUAUAUUCUAGGUAUCAAAAGGAAGUCUGAAAAUGAAUGAUUCAAGUUUGUUUCUAUUUUUUGUGCGCUGCAAUAACGAAUGUNAUUGCUAUUAUACCAUUGAUUAAUGUUCAAUUUAAAUAAUACUAAAUAUAAAUACAUAGUUAUAUCUACAAUUAUUGCAUUAAUGAUCACAAUAUGUAAUGUCUUAUUUAUCACAUAAUACACUGCCAUCAUCAAUUAUAAUGAUCCAUUUCUAAUUCUAGAGAAAUUCUCCAUUGGGAUUAUCAAAAGAAAUUGGAUUGGAUAAGUAAUUAAAAAUUAGAUCUUUCUAUUGAAUUUCUAAAUAAAUGUCGAAUUAUAAAUUAAUAAAUAGAUUUUAAUAAUUUUCGUUUUGUUAUUAUAAGGCCUGUAUCUGUCUGCUCGAAGGAAAAAAAGAAUCGAACGUUAGAGUAUUCUAAAUUCUAUCAAAAAAGAAUAGAAGGGGAGACAUCUAAGAUAGAGAUAUAUGUAGUAUAUAUCUCUGUAUAUUGAAUUGUGAAUACAGAGAUAAUAGAAUCAUUUCUGAUUCGACUAAAUUAUGGGUAUCUGAUAUCGAUGAAAGAAAAUCAAUCAAGAAAAAACAAAUAGAAGGAAAUUUUCCCCCACCCAAUAUGAGUGUAGGUUUUGAAUAAAUUCAACAGUUCCAGCAUAUUAUUCUCAUAAUACUCAUAAUACAAACAAAUGAAAAAAACAGCCUAAUGCGAUAUGAUAUCAAUCUCAAAGAAAAAACGGGGGAUAUGGCGAAAUUGGUAGACACUACGGACUUAAUUGGAUUGAGCCUUGGUAUGGAAACUUACCAAGUGAAAACUUUCAAAUUCAGAGAAACCCUGGAAUUCAAAAUGGGCAAUCCUGAGCCAAAUCCUUCUUUCUGAAAACAAAUAAAAGUUCAGAAAGUGAAAAUCAAAAAAGGAUAGGUGCAGAGACUCAAUGGAAGCUGUUCUAACAAAUGGAGUUGACAACAUUCAAUUGAUUAAUGAAGAUUUCUAACUUCUAUUUGUAACUAUUUUGAUUCUAUCACAAUGGAAACAUUAGAAUCAAUUACAACUGGAAGAAAAAAUGACUGAAUAUUCAUUGCUCAAAUCAGUCACUCCACCAUAAUCUGAUGGAUCUUUUGAAUAACUGAUUAAUCAGACGAGAAUAAAGAUAGAGUCCCAUUCUACAUGUCAAUACCGACAUCAAUGAAAUUUUUAGUAAGAGGAAAAUCCGUCGACUUUAGAAAUCGUGAGGGUUCAAGUCCCUCUAUCCCCAAAAGCCAAUUAAAUUCCCUCAUU
rnacentral:lncRNA from 1 species